CAAGAUGCCACAAUUCUCAAUAAUUGUGUUUUAGGGUUAGAGCUUUAUUUUUCUUCUCUCAAUUUCUCUGAUCUCUUCUAAAUUUCACUCGCAAAACCCUAACCCUAAACUGCCAACCAUGUCGUCCAAGCAAGGUGGCAAAGUGAAGCCUUUGAAACAACCCAAAUCUGAAAAGAGAGAAUACGACGAGCAUGAUUUGGCUAACAUUCAGAAAAAGAAGGAAGAAGAGAAGGCACUUAAAGAGCUGAGAUCAAAGGCACAACAGAAGGGGUCAUUUGGUGGUGCUGGUCUUAAGAAGAGUGGUAAGAAAUGAGGGUCUAAAAACCCAGCUAAACGGAAACUAUUGAGCCUUGUGUUGGGAUUACUACUUGUAUUAUGAUCACAUCUUUUGUUUUAGUGUGAUGGUCUAUAAAACCUUGUGUCGAAUGUCCUCAUGUAAAACUUAAGCUCUAUGUUUUUGCUUUUGUCUGUGUGUUCUUCAAUCUCCUAUAGCUUGUGACUUGCUAAUA